UUUAAGUGUAAGAGUUUUCAUAUCCAACUUUGAUCGUCCGUCUUAUUUGAAUUUUUUUAUAAUUAGUAUUUUGUUUGUUAUGAGAUGAUAAAACAUGAAUACUAUUUUACUCGUAACUUAUGUUUUUAUUUUUUUUAAAUAAGACUAACAAUCAAAGUUGGACGCGGAAAAUCAUGACUGCACUUAAA
rfam:Oryza sativa Japonica Group DNA, chromosome 6, cultivar: Nipponbare, complete sequence.